rnacentral:snRNA from 1 species
GAAUCUUCUAAUUUCCUUUAUC